CCAAUGCUCACAUUAGUCCCGGUUCGUGACUGAACCGGGACUAAUGUUAAUAUUGCCCUGUGACCAAAGCCCUGUUUUCUACUAGUGACCUUUGCUUCUGUAGUUUCGCCGAACUGAACUUCUCUAAAUAACACCAACCAGAGUUUAUUCUUAGAUGUUUUUUUGUAAUUUAAAAUUGCUCAGAUUUAUUAAUCCACCAUUUCAAUGCUGUUUAUAGAGGCAAAAUGAUUGUAUUUAUAUGACUGGUUAAUAGAAAAUCUAGACAGUUAUGUCAGACCUUUAUCUUGACAUUUGCCUUUCAUAAAUCUACUAAACCUUUUUUUUACUUGAUCUUCUGUGCAGCUAUGGUUAUUGGGCCUCAAUAAUCUGAAUUCCUAAGUAAUUAUAACAACAAAAGUUUUAUUUUCUUAGGUAUACCAUUGUUGUUUUGCUGAAUGAAUAACAAGGUAGUCCAGUAGAAUUGUAACUUGUGAGCCCUGCAAAUAGUCCCUACAGAGUAGGUUUAUAGAAGGUUUGUUGAAAGAUUUAUUGUGGGUUGUGUUACUUGCCAAACAAGUGUUAUGCUCAAGUCAGACCCUUUGGUGGCUUCCCUUGUUAAAUGAUGUGCAAAGAAUUUUAUUGCUUAGUGUAAUUAAUAAGUGCUUGGAUUAUUUUGCAGUGAAAAUGUUUGUGAUUUUCCCUCUUCCUUCUCUUGUUAGAUCAUAUCACCUUAACUAUACAAAGUAAUUUGUGAAGAUAUAUGUUCCUUAAUUUGAUUGCAGCGACCAUAAUAAAAUAAUUGUAGAAACCUGUAGUGUAUUGGUCUCUUUUCUCCUAAUUGUCUAUAUAUUCUACAUCUGGUAGAUCAAGGAUCUCUCGUCAUUUGAUUUUCUUAGGGUUGCUUCGUGCUAUUUCUCUACACCUAGGUUGGGGAAUUUUGUUUCUAAUGCUCCUGAAAACUAAGAAUUUGGUACAAAAUGAAACCAUUCUGCAUUUGGAUCUGCGCUAUAGAUAAUUGGUUUAUUGAAAUUCCUCUAGGUCAUUAACAGUGGUGGUAUUUGUCCUUAUCGGAACCAUUGUUUUGAUUUCAUGGCCUCUUGUAUCUAUGUGUCCCUCUUGUAUGUAUUUUUAUUUUCUAAUCUGCGUUUAAGAAAAGAACUGUAUUUGUUUUUUUAUAAAAUCAGGUCAAAUUACUCCACUUUGAAUUAAAGUUCCAACCAUACAUACUUAUUUUGUCUGCAGAAGAUAGAUAUUUAUUACCACCAUAGAUGCAUGUGAAUACGCCUUAAGAUCUCAACAGAAGUAAGGUUAAAUGAUUACCUAUCUUGUGAUCUUCUGUUAUGAGAACAGCGGUAUCUCUGUCCACUGUGCACGUUUCUCCCAAACUAUUGAGUUAGUUUAUUCAAAUGACAGAGCGCACAGGUUCCUUCGGGUAUCUAAAUAGAUUUGGGAAGCUUUUGUUCUGAAAAAGUCUGCCUGAUUAAACAAACUCUAGAGGCUAAUGGAUUCAAACACGGAAAUAAACAGACAAUUUCACAGACCGUACAUCGCAGGCCAAUCGAAACAGAGAGAGCCAGAGAGAGAGAGGGAGGGACAGAGGGAGAGAGGUUUAUUCACACACUGUCAAUCCAAUUUUUUUGUAAUUAUUGUUAUGUGCAUAUAUUUUAUUUCUUCUUUGGUUUAGGGAACAUAGAAAUGCAGGAGCUAUUAGCCAUGCUCAUGUUAAUUUCUGUUAUGAACAUGACAGUUGAAUUCGAUAGGGUUAAAUUUGUUCCCCCAAGGUGGUGCGGGUUUCGGGGUUUCAAGGGCGUGAAAUGGCAUGGAAGACAGAGAUGGCAGCAGCCUGCAUCCUCGAAUUGGAGUUGCCUCUUGGGGAGUAGCAGGUUGCUGAAAUGACGACCAGGGUGGAUGCCCAAAGUUACAGAAAUAUCUACCUGGGAGGAGGCGCCGAAAUUUAGAGGCACACGGGAGAUGCUAGAGGAUGAUAAGAAAGAUGAGGAGAAAGCUUAGGUUUAGUUCUUUAAUAAUUUUUGUUCUUUUUUUAGAGUUCCUGAGAAUUAGUUGCAGACAAUGUUGUGAUGCUCCAAUAGUAUAGUGCAAUAUCCUACGAUGACAACUAUAAAUGUCACACUCUAUUUGUUAGGAUAUUCUAUUCAUGCUAUAUUCAUUGUUAGUUUUGUCUUCAUCCUACUAUUUAUGGAUAUUUCCUUUAUCGCCUCCACUGGACAUGAGUAACCCGUGGCAUUUUCCAUGCUUUUCUUCUAUAUAGUGGAGGUUUCUUUCAUCAGAGCAAACUGGUUCCACAGAGGUUUCAUUAGAGCUAACUUUGUGUUUUAUCAUCUUGGAACCGUUACUAUUUGCUUAGAGGAAAGACGAAGCAACAUCUACUUUUAAUUGGAAUAAUUAUGCAAGAAGACAUUCAAUUUACUAUAUCACAUAAUCAUUUUUUCUGUGUUAAGUAAUAAGUAUAAACCACAACUUGUGCAGAAAACACAAACUUUAACAAAGGGUACCGAGCAAUUAAGGGUGCCCCAUCAGGCAUUUUUUCACUUAAGAUGGAACAGAAUAACUGUCAUGGUGUUCUGUUCAUAUUUGAACUUUACUAAAGAUAUGUUACAAUUCAUGCCUGCGGUUCAAUAUCUACUACCUGAAAUCCGCUUUCUACCUUGGUUAUCGAGUACACAUAUAAAGUGUGCUUUUAAUGCUAUAUUAAAUUCAUGCCUGUAGUCCAAUAUCAAUUGCCUGAAUUCUGCUUUCUACCCAUGGUUAUUAAGUACAUACACAUGCUUUAUUGUUUAUUAGAUUCUGGACUGUAGGUCUGCUACUUAAUGAUGCACCCCCUGCUGAUAAGAAAAUUUAUUCGGUCUGAUAAGAUAAUAUACUGAACAGAUGAAUGGCAGGAUCAGUAAGCUUUCUUCUUGAUUAUGGUUUCUUCUGCAUUCUCAAUGUUUCAUAUAUCUACCUGGGAAUUUUGUUUUGUUAGUUUUUAUAGUAUCAUUGGUAGAGAGGAUGUCUUUCCGAAUAUAGUUUUAAAUUCUGGAUAUUUUUUCAUACAAGAAUUCCAAAUAUAGUAAUGGUCCUUGCUGGGAACAAUGCUGUCAUAUAAGGGGAAACUUUAGAAGUUCAACGACCAUAAUUUAAAUCAUAUGCAGCUUGUUUUCUUCCUUGUUGUUUUAUUGCAUUAAAGAUAUUUAGAAUUUUGACUGUCUAAAAAUGCAGAGCAUAUAUUGUGCGGCUUUAGCUCCCCAUUCUGUUUUUCUCCCAGAGAAUGGUUUAUGUCUAAAUUGGUGCCAUUUGCAGGCUUUAUUUUGCACGAGUUUGUUCUGGAUGUAGUUUUCUAGGCGUAUUGAUCAUCUCCCAUGCUUUAACCGAACGAGUUAGUCGUAUAUGUCUAAUAAUCGUUUUCACACACAUCUGGUCAAUAGAAUUAAGCGAACCAUCUUUGUAUUCUAUAGUGAUUUUGGGAGGAGCCACAUGUGGAGAAGUUGGCCGCAAGGAUCAACACUUGCAAUGACCUUAAAAAUACAUAUGAAGUUUUCAAUUUAGUAAUUUACACCACAUGACUGUCAUUCACUUGCAGGCCUGAUGUGGUGUGAUCUUGUUGAUUCAUAUGGCAGAUUGUUACGGGAUCAGAGGACUUAGCUGAAAGCAGGCUUGAGACUGCUGAAAAAGUGUUGGUGUGAUUCAGUGAUCCCAAUAUGGCACUUGUGUGUACCAUGGCUUCAUUGCAUAUUGACUUUAACAAAUAUAUGAAAGAGAGCUGUUUCUAACCUGCUACGCAACAAGGAUUGCAACGCUUUGCGGUCUCCUAGGCUGUUGAGGGGAAUGGAGGAAACUGAAGGCGCUAACAACUCCUGUUUGAAGGUCAUCACGGACUAUAUCCUGGAAACUGAAAAUUUGUUGGAAAAGAUCUAUUAUGAUGCUAUAGAAGUUCCAGAUAAGGAUCUUCUCCCCUUCUGCGUUGGGUCUGAAAGCAAGGGCAUGUACUAUAAAAUGUAUGAAAUAUAUUAUUUUCUCUUCUACGUUUGUUGAAUGAAUUGCUACGAAGUUUAUGUUGACAUAUUUGUUUGUUCUUUUCUUUUUAAGAAUCAGUUAUUUUUGUAAGCACCACUGAGCCUACCUUGCAGACCAUCUUGGUGUUUUUAGCAACAACAGUGAACAUGUUUGUCCUCUUUUUCAACUUCUUUUCAACAAUCAAUAGCACAAAUAGAUAUGCUUUUACCUAUAUAACCUCUGUUGUUGUUCCUCAUCGAUCUAUUAAUGAUGCCACCCUUAUCUAUAAUUAUCUGUUUUUACUACUUUCUCUAUUUCAAACAUCAAGUACUCACCAACAACAACAAAUAUGCUAAGCAAGGAAGAGGCAUGCCCUACCUGGCCGCGUCCACCUUCCACUCAAGGAAUAUAGCAUUAUCAUUCAAGGAGAAACAGUA